AUUGUAUUGUUGUAGACUAGUCUAGGGAGGAUCAUUGUAUUGUUGUAGACUAGUCUAGAGAGGAUCAUUGUAUUGUAUUGUUGUAGACUAGUCUCGGAAGGAUCAUUGUAUUGUUGUAGACUAGUCUCGGGAGGAUCAUUGUAUUGUAUAAUUGUAGACUAGUCUAGAGGAUCAUUAUUGUUGUAGACUAGUAUAGGGAGGUUCAUUGUAUUGUUGUAGACUAGUCUAGAGAGGAUCAUUGUAUUGUUGUAGAGUAGUCUAGGGAGGAUCAUUGUAUUGUUGUAGACUAGUCUAGGGAGGAUCAUUGUAUUGUUGUAGACUAGUCUAGGGAGGAUCAUUGUAUUGUUGUAGACUA
rnacentral:lncRNA from 1 species